rnacentral:tRNA from 1 species
GUAAAUAUAGUUUAAACAAGACAUUAGAUUGUGACUCUAAAAUUAAAGCCUAAACCCUUUUAUUUACC